UGCCCACGGAUCAGUCACUUGUGCAUGCCGUGGUCAUGUUGUAGCAGACGUAUUAAUGCCUUUUGCCACCAAAACUGACCCGUUCUGGCUCCACGAGGAUGCACACACCUCAUUUUCUGCUCUGUGAGUGGGGCUCUAAACGCAGGCACCUGCCCCUGUCCCCAUCACGCUCCGUCUCACUCUCUAGAUUGCGUUGCUGCAGCCGCAUCAAUCAGGCUCCUUAAGGGGAGGGAUGGAGAAGGCAGGAUUUCAGCUCUGCUUGUUUAACAAAAGUAUAUCCACUUAGGAAAAAAAAAAAAAAAAAAGCUUGGAAUCAGAAGCUGAAAUUUAUCUAGUGCAGAGUGAGCUGUUCAGCUUCUCUCUCCAGAAAACAAUCCUGUAGAAUUUGACUGAAAGUAACAGCCAUGUUUUUUUUUUUUUAAUAAUUAUUUUUAUUUAACAGUUUUGGGUUAGGUUUAGGCAUAGCAGGAAAGAUUACUCUGAUGAAUUCUAACUCAGUUUAAUUAUAGGAGUUGAAACUGAGUCAAUUCCCCGCUCUCCAGCGCAGAACUGCACAGAAAAGCAACGUGCUGAUUCGAGUCAAUCUGCUUUAGCCACGCAGCUCCUAAAGGGAGAUUUUGUUGUGUCCUGCAAUCUUGGCCUCCUGAACCUCAGAGCUGACGGGUGGUGGCAGGUUCCUGCAGGACAAGCGGGCUAAGUUUCACGUCUCAUUGCAGCAGGAGUACGGCGGCACCCUCGCAGGGUCGGGCUCCGAGCUGCCCCAGGCAGAGGCAAACCGCCCGGCCACCGCAGGCUCUCGGGAGCUUUCUUAAAAGAGUAAAAGAGUCUGCAGAGAAAAAGGACAGGCAAGAGACCAGAAAGGAAAAGAGAGAAGUCAAAAAGUUACUCAGCAGCAGCAGCCUGGUUAAGUUUAAUUCCAGUGCAUUGACUCUGCGCAGCUCCUUGGGGAAUGAAGGAAUGAAAGAAAAGGAGGAAGUGAAGCAAAAUAAUUGAAAGGAGUAAUUCAAUUUGGAAAGAAUUAUUCUGCUAAUGAUUUAUGGCUUCAUUAAUGACUGAUUGAACGAAUGAUUUUUUUUUUCUUCUUCUUUUUUUUACUUAUUAGGAAUUAAGGCUGCUGGCUAAAAGGUUAUUGGAUGUCACAGCAACAGAGACUCAUUUGUCUCCAUUUAAAUACUUAAUGAUCUCUAUUUUCUCCCCCUCGAUCAAUAAGAUCUAGAAGCACUCUGCUGCAAACUUUCCUGGCCUCAUAAAGAUGUGAUCUGGUGCUCUGAGGAGAGGGAGGACAGGCGGUAACGAGGCAGGGCUGAAAGGGCACCAAUGUUGCAGAGAGAAACCCUGGUGCUGGGAGGCAAAACCCUGUCCCCAUCCCCAUCCCUAUCCCUGUCCCUGUCCCUGUCCUGCUGUGCUGGGGGCUGCCACCGUGCUCUGACCCUGCCACAAAUUCAGGGGCUGUUCUGACGGAGUCGUUCACCUUUGAGUGCCAUCACUGCUCCCGGCUGCACUAGGAGCAUCAGCCCCAGCCUGGAGCUCCUGCUCCUCCCUGCACCCCCUGAGAUAAAUGUAUUUUCCCUUUUUGGGCCCCAAAACCCUUGGUGCCGUUGCAUUUGGUGAGGUUGUUGGUGAGACCUGUGUUGUACGUGUCUAUAAAGGGAGCUAAGGCCACGCUCACCUCUGCCUUCCUGGCACUACUCAGCCGUGUACGCGGGUGUGCCUGCGUAAAGGAAUCCAGCCGUAUGUGUGCGUGUGCUUUCAUAGAUCGAGGGCACACC
ensembl:lncRNA